rnacentral:tRNA from 1 species
CAGAAAAUAGUUUAUAAAAAAUAAUAAUUUUGGAGAUUAUUGAAAAAGAAGUUUCUUUUUUUCUGA